ACAGAGGGUGAGAAUCCCGUACGUGGCCGCCGGUCUUCACCGUGUAAAGCCCCUUCGACGAGUCGAGUUGUUUGGGAAUGCAGCUCUAAAUGGGAGAUAAAUUUCUUCUAAAGCUAAAUAUUGGCCAGAGACCGAUAGCGCACAAGUAGAGUGAUCGAAAGAUGAAAAGCACUUUGGAAAGAGAGUCAAAAAGCACGUGAAAUUGUUGAAAGGGAAGCGCUUGCAGCCAGACGUGCCCGCAGUUGCUCACCUGGGCUCUCGCCCGGGGCAUUCUUCUGCGGGCAGGCCAG
rnacentral:rRNA from 1 species